rnacentral:rRNA from 1 species
GUGGGGAAUAUUGCACAAUGGGGGAAACCCUGAUGCAGCGACGCCGCGUGAGCGAAGAAGUAUUUCGGUAUGUAAAGCUCUAUCAGCAGGGAAGAAGAAUGACGGUACCUGACUAAGAAGCACCGGCUAAAUACGUGCCAGCAGCCGCGGUAAUACGUAUGGUGCAAGCGUUAUCCGGAUUUACUGGGUGUAAAGGGAGCGUAGGCGGUGCGGCAAGUCUGAUGUGAAAGCCCGGGGCUCAACCCCGGUACUGCAUUGGAAACUGUCGUACUAGAGUGUCGGAGGGGUAAGUGGAAUUCCUAGUGUAGCGGUGAAAUGCGUAGAUAUUAGGAAGAACACCAGUGGCGAAGGCGGCUUACUGGACGAUAACUGACGCUGAGGCUCGAAAGCGUGGGGAGCAAACAGGAUUAGAAACCCCUGUAGUCC